CCACUUUUACAUUUAAAAUCCGGUACCUUACAAUUAGACUACUCAGUUGCGCCCUAACAGUAUAACUUUGCAACGAGUACUUUUUCUCAUUCUAUCGAAUAAGGAGUAAACCAAUUAUAUUGUUCUAUUAUACCCCGAGAGUGUAAAUUUGGAACGAAUCGAUGUCAACGUUCACAAGAAUCAAAACCGGAACAACAUUAGACUAUUCAGUAGCGCACUAACAGUAUAACUUUGCAAGGAGUACUUUUUCUUAUUCUAUCGAACAGAGAGUAAAACCUAAUUAUAUUGUUCUAUUAUGCCCCGAGAGUGUAAAUUUGGAACGAAUCGAUUAAACGUUCACAAGAACCAAAACAGGAACAAAGUUAGGCAACUCAGUUGAGCCCUAAAAGUAUAACUUUACAACUAGUACUUUUUCUCAUUCAAUCGAACAAAGAGCAAAACCUAAUUUUAUUGUUCUAUUAUGCCACGGGAGUGUAAAUUUGGAACGAAUCGAUGUCAACGUUCACUAGACCCAAAACCGGAACAACAUUAGACAACUCAGUUGUCCCAUAACAGUAUAACUUUGCAACGAGUACUUUUUCUCAUUCUAUCGAAUAAGGAGUAAAAGCUUUCUAUUAUGCCCUGAGAGUGUAAAUUGAACGAAUCGAUGUCAACGUUCACAAGAACCAAAAUUGGAACAAAGUUAGGCUACUCAGUUGAGCCCUAAUAGUAUAACUUUGCAACCAGUACAUUUUUUCAUUCAAUCGAACAAAGUGCAAGAACUAAUUAUAUGGUUCUAUUAUGCCCCGAGAGUUUAAAUUUGGAACGAAUCGAUAUAAACGUUCACAAGACCCAAAAUCGGAACAAAGUUAGACUACUCAGUUGAGCCCUAAAAGUAUAACUUUACAACUAGUACUUUUUCUCAUUCGAUCGAACAAAGAGCAAAACCUAAUUUUAUUGUUCUAUUAUGCUCCGGGAGUGUAAAUUUGGAACGAAUCGAUGUCAACGUUUACAAGAACCAAAACCGGAACAAUAUUAGACUACUCAGUUGAGCGCUAACAGUAUAACUUUGCAACUAGUACUUUUUCUCAUUCAAUCGAUCAAAGAGCAAAACCUAAUUAUAUUCUUCUAUUAUGCCCCGAGAGUGUAAAUUUGGAACGAAUCGAUGUAAACGUUCACAAGAACCAAAACCGGAACAAAGUUAUACUACUCAGUUGAGCCCAAACAGUAUAACUUUGCAACUAGUACUUUUUCUCCUUCAAUCGAACAAAGAGCAAAACCAAAUUAUAUUGUUCUAUUAUACCCCGAGAGUGUAAAUUUGGAACGAAUCGAUGUCAACGUUCACAAGAACCAAAACCGGAACAAGAUUAGACUACUCAGUUGCGCCACAACAGUAUAACUUUGCAACGAUUACUUUUUCUCAUUCUAUCGAACAAAGGGUAAAACCUUUCUAUUAUGCCCCGAAAGUGUAAAUUUGGAACGAAUCGAUGUGAACGUUCACAAGAACCAAAACCGGAACAAAUUAUACUACUCAUUGCGCCGUAACAGUAUAACUUUGCAACUAGUACUUUUUCUCAUUCAAUCGAACAAAGAGCAAAACCUAAUUAUAUUCUUCUAUUAUGCCCCGAGAGUGUAAAUUUGGAAUGAAUCGAUGUAAACGUUCACAAGAACCAAAACCGGAACAAAGCUAGACUACUCAGUUGAGCCCUAACUGUAUAACUUUGCAACGAGUACUUUUUAUCAUUCUAUUGAAUAAGUAGUAAAAGCUUUCUAUUAUGCCCCGAGAGUGUAAAUUUGGAACGAAUCGAUGUAAAUGAUCACAAGAACCAAAACCGGAACAAAGUUAUACUACUCAGUUGAGCCCUAACAGUAUAACUUUGCAACUAGUACUUUUUCUCAUUCAAUCGAACAAAGAGCAAAACCAAAUUAUAUUGUUCUAUUAUACCCCGAGAGUGUAAAUUUGGAACGAGUCGAUGUCAACGUUCACAAGAACCAAAACCGGAACAACAUUAGAUUACUCAGUUGCGCCAUAACAGUAUAACUUUGUAACGAGUUCUUUUUCUCAUUCUAUCGAACUAGGAGUAAAAACUUUCUAUUAUGCCCCGAGAGUGUAAAUUUGGAACGAAUCAAUGUAAACGAUCAAAAGAACCAAAAUCGGAACAAAAUUAGACUACUCAGUUGCGCCGUAACAAUAUAACUUUGCAACUAGUACUUUUUCUCAUUCAAUCAAACAAAGAGCAAAACCUAAUUAUAGUGUUCUAU
rnacentral:lncRNA from 1 species